AUUUAUAUUUUGUUUGUUUGUUUGUAUACUAUGAAAUUAGUGGUUAUAGUUAAAUAUGUGGUAGGAAUUUCUAUUAUUUUUAAAUAUUUUCUUCUAUUCGUUAAAUUCUCUACGAACGAUUGUACGUUUCUCAUCGACCACCGAUCGAUCAGUGAAGAAAGUUCGUCGAAUGAUAGUUAUUUCCAAUUUAAAUUUUAUUUUUUUCGGAAGAGUAAAGAGUCUCUAUUAUACUUUUUCUAUGUA